GGGGCUUAGGGGGCGUGGCCUUCCCCCUGCAGGUUCUGUCUGGGCUCGGCCGGGCGCCCCUUUGGAACGUGGCGAGCAGGUGGCGCGGCCGCUGCGCCCCGCCCCCUUGGAACGUUGCGGCCAGGUGGCGCGGCCAGGGCGGUCCACGUGAGCGCCCGGCGCGGGCGGGGGGGGACACACGUGGGUUUUUGUUUGUUUUUUUCCCGGAUUUGUGGGGUUCGUUGAUCCUCGCAUCCCCUCCCCCCCACUCCGCUUCUUAAGGGGGUCCUGGGUCGCCAGCCCCCGGGAAGGCGGCGGGGGGGCAGCGGGCUGGUAUCUGGGUAUAACGCCCAGAGGGGGAUUUCUGAAGCGGGGGGGGGGGAUUUUUUGCCCUGGCUUUUUCGGGGGAGCAGCGGAGGCUGAUGUGAUGCUCGGCCAGUGAGCCCCAUGCCGGUGGUGCACCCCCAACCCCCCGACGGGGGCUGGGGCUGGAUGGUGGUGCUGGCCGCCUUCUUCCAGUCGGCGCUGGUUUUCGGGGUGAUCCGCUCCUUCGGCGUCUUCUUCAUGGAGUUUGUGGGGUACUUCGGGGAGCUGGCGGGGCGGGUCUCCUGGAUCACCUCCAUCGGGAUCGCCGUGCAGCAGUUUGCUAGUCCGGUGGGCAGCGCCCUCAGCACCCAGUACGGCGCCCGCCCCGUGGUGAUGGCCGGGGGCGUCCUCUCGGGGCUGGGCAUGUUCCUGGCGUCCUUCGCCACCAGCCUGACCCACCUGUACCUGAGCAUCGGGCUGCUCUCAGGCUUCGGGUGGGCCUUGGUCUUCACGCCUUCCGUGGCCUCGGUGGCCCGUUACUUCAAGAAGCGCCGGACGUUCGCCACGGGCUUGGCCUUCACGGGCGUGGGCCUGUCCUCCUUCGCCUUCUCCCCGCUCUUCCAGCUCCUGGUGGACACCUACGCCUGGCGGGGGGCCCUCCUGGUAGUGGCCGGCAUGUCCUUCAACCUGGUGGUGUGCGGUGCCCUCAUCCGCCCCCUGACCCUCAAGGAGGACCUGGCCGGCGCCGGGGACCCCGGCGGGAGCUGCCUGGGGAAGCUUUCCACCCUCUUUGGCCUGCCUUUGCUCUUCCACUGGCCUUUCAUGAGGUUCGUCCUGGCCGUGACCUUGAUCAACACCGGCUACUUCAUUCCCUACGUCCACUUGGUGGCCCGGGCCCGGGAGCUGGGCUUCGAUGAGUACCAGGCCGCCUUCCUUAUGUCUGUGGCUGCCGUGACUGACCUGUGUGGCCGCCUCCUCUCGGGUUGGCUGGCCGAUUGCCGGGUUUUCCACCUCAGCCACAUCUUGGUGGCCUGGACCUCCCUGACUGGCAUCUCCUUGGCGCUGGUGCCUCUGGGGUGCAGCUACCCGCUGCUGAUGGCCAUCGGCAUCUGCUACGGGUUCUUCUCUGGCGCGCUCACCCCCGUGGUCUUUUCCAUCCUGCCGGAAAUCGUGGGCAUCAGGCAGAUUUUCGGCUCGAUGGGGCUGCUGCAGAUGAUGGAGAGCAUCGGUGGGCUUCUGGGAGCGCCGUUCUCUGGUUGGCUGCGGGACAUGACUGGGGACUACACAGCCUCUUUCCUGGCAGCUGGGGCUUUCCUCUUGGCGGGGAGCCUGGUUUUGGUCACUCUGCCCAACUUCUUCUCUUGUCUGGGCUCCUCCCCUCCUGCCUGCCACGGCACCAAGGUGGAGGCCGGGGCGGAGCCGGCCGCAUUGACACCGGCCUCUGGGGAACUUUCCUCCCAGGACAGAGACUGGCCAGCCAGAAGCCAAGAUCUCAGGGAGCCGGCGUGACUGCAAGGGGGUUGUGGCAGUGGCUGGGUGAAGGGGGGGAACCAAGGAGUGACAGCUACCCCCCCCACCCCCCAGCUCUUUUGGGGCCCCUCAAUCCAUUAUCACAGCCUGGGCCUAAUACCCCCUUCCCUGGGCCUAAUCCCCUGUUUGUAUCCUCUGAUCCCUGGGGCGAACUCCUUGACCGGGACCAGGUUCUGGAAGGGCUAAUGCAGUCAGAGCGUAAAUUCCAGCCUGGGGAGGGGUCCUAGAGUUUUGCCUCUCUUCCUACCUACCAUCCCCUUCAAUAUCUCCACCGAGAAGGAUGCUCCUUCACAGAAAUAAGCCACAUAAAUACCCUUGCCCUCCUGGGUUCUCCGCCGGUGCCUCCCAUGGGCUCCAACCUCCCAGAAGCCUGCUGGAAGCUUAGGGCCCGUUGUGGAGGUCCAUAAUUCGGGGAGGACGCUGAGGAAGCGGGGCAAGGUUCAGUCUAUGAAGACCCCAACGAGGAGCAGAAAUUGGAUCAGAGUCUGGGCCUAACACAAAGAACAUUUUAUAAAGUGGGGGGAGGAUCGGGCCGCUGCAUUCAUUUGGGGAAACCCUGUAUACACCAUCAAUGACAGGUCACCUCCAUGUUCUAGGUUGCCCUACGUUAUCUGGAUGUUGUUAUACGAACACGAAGUAACCUAGGACAGUCUAGGUCACCUCCAUGUUCUAGGUUGCCCUACGUUAUCUGGAUGUUGUUCUAGGUCACUUUGUGUUCGUAUGACAGUCUAGGUCACCUCCAUGUUCUAGGUUGCUGCGUGCUCUCUAGAUAUUGUUCUAGAUCACACUUGUCUCUUGUGUCAUUUGAGAUCGCCUUCAUGUUCUAGGUUGCCCUAUGUUCUCUGGCUAUUGUUCUAGCUCACCCUGGGUUUUCCUGCUGUUGGUCUGGAUGACUCUUUCCUUUCUCUGUUCCAGGUUGGCUGCGGGACAUGACUGGGGACUACACAGUGGCAGGUGUAUGCAGACAGGAAAUAAAAGACCCACUCCCAUAAUAUGUGCGGUAGGCCCCUGCCUCCGUUUCCCCACUUGCUGCUGGGAAUGGCUGGCAGGAAAUGGACACCCAGCUUUGCACCCCACUCCGGGGGCGGGGGGUUAGUGAUGUCCCAGAAAUGCAGUUAUGGGUGUAAAGGCCCCCCUUCCGGAUUAGUUUAACCUCCAAAAUGUAGGAUUUGCUCAUUUAAAGGGGGGAGGGAGUCGUUUAGCGAAAUGACAGUUUUUUGGGGGCGGGGGACAAAAGCGGCAGUUUCGAGUGCCGCCUUUUUUGGACCAGAGCUGCGUGCGGGGGGGGGGGGGGAAUUAAAACCAGCCAAUUCCUCUAGCGGGCGUCUGAGUUCACGGGCCCCUAACCAGCGCGUGAGAGGAAGGGGCCCAAGCGAAGGUGACUUUAGCUUGGAAGUGGCCACAAUGCCCCCCCGGACAGGUGGGCCAAAGGUCGAAAGUGCCUCAUUGAAGCAAAGUAGCUUGAAAGUUCAUCUUGAGUUUUCUCGCAUUGAAAGGAACAGGUCUCUUCACAGCGGGGUGGGUGAAUAUUAACGGAGUAACAAGGGAGGUUUCUCCAAGGAUUGGGCAAAACAGCUUGGGGUGGGUUUGCAGAGUGGGAGGAAAGAUAAGCAAGAAAAGGGAUUAAUUCAGGUAUGGUGCAGACCUGGUGAUGGAACCCAGGAGUCCUGGCUCCCAGCCCCGGCCGCCGCUCUAACCCACCAGACCCCACUCCCCUCCCAGAACCAUCCUGUCCUAGGGAGUUUGCCCUGGGCUCCCUCUGUGAUCCUGGCCCCUGUCCAUUGUCUGGGGCAUUGCUCGUACCCUUUGUAAUUCAGCCUUUCCCAGGCUCUUUGGAGGCGGCUGGUUAUCCAGGGACCCCUCGCCCAGCACUGAGAUGCGGCCACCUCUGGGGCGGGGCGGCUGGUGACACAGGGACCCCUUCCCCGGCGCUGAGAUGUGGCCACCUCUGGGGCGGGGCGGCUGGUGACUCAGGGACCACUCGCCCGGUGCUGAGAUGCGGCCACUUCUGGGGUGGGGCGGCUGGUGACUCAGGGACCACUCGCCCGGUGCUGAGAUGCGGCCACUUCUGGGGUGGGGCAGCUGGUGACACAGGGACCACUCGCCCGGCGCUGAGAUGCGGCCAUCUCUGGGGCGGGGCGGCUGGUGACACAGGGACCCCUUGCCUGCCGCUGAAUUGCGGCCACCUCUGGGGCAGGGCAGCUGGUUACACCGGGACCCCUCGGCCGGCGCUGAGAAGUGGCCACCUCUGGGGCGGGGCGGCUGGUUAUACAGGGAUGCCUGGAAGCUACAUAGAAACUUUUUAAAGACACCAUUUUAGGGGCUCCGUUGAAUAGCAUACCCCGAAAUUAAAAAAAUCCUAGCAAGAGAACCAAAAAACUGUCACCACGGUUAAACAACCAAGUAAGAGAAGCAGUGAGAGGCAAAAAGGCAUCCUUUAAAAAGUGGAAGUUAAAUCCUAGUGCGGAAAACAAAAAGGAGCAUAAACUCUGGGUAAAAAUAUAAUCAGGCCAAAAAGGAAUUUGAAGAGCAGCUAGCCAAAGACGCAAAAAGUAACAGCAAAAAAAUGUUUUAAGUACAGUAGAAGCAGGAAGCCUGCUAAACAACCAGUGGGGCCCCUGACCGAUUGAGGUGCUAAAGGAGCAGUUAAGGACGUUAAGGCCAUUGCGGAGAAAUUAAAUGAAUUCUUUGCAUUGGUCUUCCCGGCUGAGGAUGUGAGGGAGAUUCCCAAACCUGAGCCAUUCUUUUUAGGUGACAGAUCUAAGGAACUGUCCCAGAUUGAGGUAUCUUUAGAGGAGGUUUUGGACCAAAUUGAUGAAUUAAACAGCAGUAAGUCACCAGGACCAGCUGGUAUUCACCCAACAGUUUGGAAGGAACUCAAAUGUGUAUGUCUACACUAUGAAAUUAGGUCGAUUUUAUACAGUCGAUUGCGUAUGUCCACACUACGUGCAUUAAGUGGGAGGAGUGCGUCCUCACUACCGUGGCUAGCAUCGACUUACAGAGCGGUGCACUGUGGGUAGCUAUCCCACAGUUCCAGCAGUCUCCGCCACCCAUUGGAAUUCUAGGUUAAGCUCCCAACACCUGAUGGGGCAAAAACAUUGUUGCGGGUGGUUUUGGGUACAUGUCGUCAGUCGCCCCUCCCUCUGUGAAAGCAACGGCAGACCGUCUGCCCCAGCCUACCCCUUGCUCCCAUGGUUCAUGAAGCCUGGACAGUAGUAAGGAGCAGUUCCACUAUAGGCUGAGCAAGUGGAGAAUGGUGGUAGAAUGUGCCUUUGCACGUUUAAAAGCGCGCUGGCGCUGUUGGUCAGACCUCAGCGCAACCAACAUUCCCGUUGUUAUUGCUGCUUGCUGUGUGCCCCAUAAUAUCUGUGAGAGUAAGGGGGAGAUGUUUAUGGCCAGGUGGGAGGUUGAGGCAAAUUGCCUGGCGUCCGAUUUUGAGCAGCCAGACACCAGGGCGAUUAGAAGAGCACAGUUAGGUGCGCUGCGCAUCAGAGAGGCUUUGAAAACCAGUUUCAUGACUGGCCAGGCUAUGGUGUGACCGUUGUGUGUGUUUCUCCUUGAUGCCAACCCGCCCCCUUUCUUGAUUUUAAUUCCCUGUAAGCCAACCACCCUGCCCUCUUCGAAAUAAAGUAAUUACUGUUUUGAAA